rnacentral:rRNA from 1 species
CGGCUCAGUAACACGUGGAUAACCUACCCUAUGGAGGGGGAUAACCCCGGGAAACUGGGGAUAAUACCCCGUAGGCUAUAGAUGCUGGAAUGCUUUGUAGUUGAAAGGUCCGCCGCCAUAGGAUGGGUCUGCGGCCGAUUAGGUUGUUGUUGGGGUAACGGCCCAACAAGCCUGUAAUCGGUACGGGUUGUGGGAGCAAGAGCCCGGAGAUGGAUUCUGAGACACGAAUCCAGGCCCUACGGGGCGCAGCAGGCGCGAAAACUUUACAAUGCGGGAAACCGUGAUAAGGGAACUCCGAGUGCCCGUAAAAUCGGGCUGUCCAUCUGUUUAAAUAACAGGUGAAGAAAGGGCCGGGCAAGACCGGUGCCAGCCGCCGCGGUAAUACCGGCGGCUCGAGUGGUGGCCACUAUUACUGGGCUUAAAGCGUUCGUAGCUGGUCUGUUAAGUCUCUGGGGAAAUCUACUGGCUUAACCAAUAGGCGUCUCAGGGAUACUGGCAGACUAGGGACCGGGAGAGGUGAGAGGUACUCCAGGGGUAGGAGUGAAAUCCUGUAAUCCUUGGGGGACCACCUGUGGCGAAGGCGUCUCACCAGAACGGCUCCGACAGUGAGGGACGAAAGCUGAGGGAGCAAACCGGAUUAGAUACCCGGGUA